rnacentral:tRNA from 91 species
GGCUAUGUAGCUCAGUUGGUUAGAGCAUCGCACUCAUAAUGCGGGGGUCACAGGUUCGAAUCCCGUCAUAGCCACCA